UACAUGUGGGGCAAGCGUUGUUCGGAAUUACUGGGCAUAAAGGGUGCGUAGGCGGCUUGUUAGGUCACUGGUGAAAGUUUUCGGCCCAACCGGAAAAUUGCCUGUGAUACCGGCGAGCUUGAGUGCGUGAGGGGUGGGGGAACGAGCAGUGUAGCGGGUGAAAUGCGUAGAUAUUGCUCGGAAGGCCGGAGCCGAAGGGGCCCCACUGGUACGUAACUGACGCUGA
rnacentral:rRNA from 1 species